CCUACGGGUGGCAGCAGUGGGGAAUAUUGGGCAAUGGGCGAAAGCCUGACCCAGCAACGCCGCGUGAAGGAUGAAGGCUUUCGGGUUGUAAACUUCUUUUGACAGGGAAGAGCAGCAGACUGUACCUGUCGAUUCAUCCACGGCUAACUACGUUCCAGCAGGCGCGGUAAUACGUAGGUGGCAAGCGUUGUCCGGGUUUACUGGGUGUAAAGGGCGUGUAGCCGGGCUGACAAGUCAUAGGGGAAAUCCGGGGGCCCAAACCCCGAACUGCAUUUGAAACUGUUGGUGUUGAGUAUCGGAGAGGCAGGCGGAAUUCCUAGUGAAGCGGUGAAAUGCGUAGAUAUUAGGAGGAACACCAGUGGCGAAGGCGGCCUGCUGGACGACAACUGACGGUGAGGCGCGAAAGCGUGGGGAGCAAACAGGAUUAGAUACCCUUGUAGUC
rnacentral:rRNA from 1 species